rnacentral:rRNA from 1 species
CCUACGGGAGGCUGCAGUGAGGAAUAUUGGUCAAUGGGCGAGAGCCUGAACCAGCCAAGUCGCGUGAAGGAUGAAGGAUCUAUGGUUUGUAAACUUCUUUUAUAAAGGAAUAAAGUGAGGCACGUGUGCCUUUUUGUAUGUACUUUAUGAAUAAGGAUCGGCUAACUCCGUGCCAGCAGCCGCGGUAAUACGGAGGAUCCGAGCGUUAUCCGGAUUUAUUGGGUUUAAAGGGAGCGUAGAUGGGUUGUUAAGUCAGUUGUGAAAGUUUGCGGCUCAACCGUAAAAUUGCAAUUGAUACUGGCAGUCGUGAGUACAGUUGAGGUAGGCGGAAUUCGUGGUGUAGCGGUGAAAUGCUUAGAUAUCACGAAGAACUCCGAUUGCGAAGGCAGCUUACUAAACUGCCACUGACAUUGAUGCUCGAAAGUGUGGGUAUCAAACAGGAUUAGAUACCCUGGUAGUC